UUCAGACUGCAGGCUGCAACUCGCCUGCACGAAGUCGGAAUUGCUAGUAAUCGUAGGUCAGCAUACUACGGUGAAUACGUUCCCGGGCCUUGUACACACCGCCCGUCAAACCAUGAGAGUUGGCAACACCCGAAGUCGGUAGUCUAACCGCAAGGAGGACGCCGCGAAGGUGGGGUUGAUGAUUAGGGUUAAGUCGUAACAAGGUACC
rnacentral:rRNA from 1 species